AAAACAUGUCUUUUUGAAAAUAAUAUAAAGUCUAAUCUGCCCACUGAAUUAAUUUAAAGGGCUGCAGUAUAUUGACUGUACAAAGGUAGCAUAAUCAAUAGUCUUUUAAUUGAAGACUUGUAUGAAUGAUUUGAUGAAAUAUAAACUGUCUCUUUUUUAAAAUUAAAAUUUAAUUUUUUAGUUAAAAAGCUAAAAUAAAUAUAAAAGACGAGAAGACCCUAUAGAGUUUUAUAAUUAUUUUUAUUUAUUUUAUAUAUUAAUAUUAAAAAUUAAAUGUAAAUAAUUAUUUUGUUGGGGUGAUAGAAAAAUUUAAUUAACUUUUUUUAAAAUUUAACAUUAAUAUAUGAAUAUAUGAUCCAUAUUUUAUGAUUAAAAGAAUAAAUUACCUUAGGGAUAACAGCGUAAUUUUUUUUUUUAGUUCAUAUAAAAAAAAGAGUUUGCGACCUCGAUGUUGGAUUAAGAUAAAAUUUAAAUGCAAAAGUUUAAAAUUUUUGAUCUGUUCGAUCAUUAAAAUCUUACAUGAUCUGA
rnacentral:rRNA from 1 species